UCCGGGCUAUUAAAUAGCCCUCCGAAAUCUUGCUAUUUAGCAGUAUUAAACGUAGAUUACCGACAAAACUCAUUCCAUAACCCCUGGGCUAUUUUGCGAGACGAAUCUAACGAGAUAUAUUAAUCCAUGAUUUGUUGCAGUGAUGCUACAUUGAUCAUUCGCUAACUAUGGAUUAAUAUACCUCGUUAGAUUCGUCUCGCAAAAUAGCCUAGGGGUUAUGGAAUGGGUUUUGUCAGUAAUCUACGUUUAAUACUCUUAGAUAGCAAGAUUUUGGAGAGCUAUUUAAUAGCCCG
rnacentral:pre_miRNA from 1 species